UAUACAGCAGUGAGGACUGCAACAUGAUGCGCAUGAUCAGGAAAAAUCCCACGAUGUCCAUCACUGCCUCUACCCAUCCUCUGAUUGGUUCGCACGGAUGACCGUUCGCGCCUCUGUUCAAAUCUUCAUUUCUUUCAUGUUUCUGUGCCUGAGUAUCUGAAAUAACGAAAUAACAAAAUAUCGAAACUGAAAUAACUGAAAUAACGAAAAAAUAAGUUCAGGAGUUAAAUACGUAUAAAUCUAUUGUACUUCCGAAAUUAGAUUAUGCCUCGAUAAUAUAUGAGGCUAGUGACGAGGUCAAAACUCUGAAUACUAUCCAGAACUUGAGUCUCCGAAUAGCACUAGGUGCCGUUUGCACCAGUCCCAUAAGUAGCUUACUGGUAGAAGGAAGAUUAAUGCCCUUAAAGUAUCGCAGAAUGAAAUUAGCCAGUAACUAUAUGUGCAAAGUAGCUGCUACUGUAUUCAACCCAAGCAGGAAUCUCUUACUUAAUUGCGAAAGAAAUGUAUUAUUCAUUAAUACACGCAGUCACCACACCCCGCUUUUCACUAGACUGGACAGAUCGCUAGAGGAACUUAAUGCAAGAAAUCUUUCAAUUAGACAAAGAGACAUACCGUUACCUCCACAAGUAAUAUUAAACUUAAACAGGAACCAGAGUAUUGAGUACAGGAACUUAAUAUCUAUCCAUGCAUUUAUUGAAAUAACAGAAGAUAACUCAAUAAUCGGUGGACAUUGUGGAAGAAAGAAUCGACUGUGAACUGUUUGCAUUUGUCGCAGUCAACAGGACAACGAAAACGCCCAAAUCCAUGUUCACCGCCUGUUUGCAGUCGCAUUGGCCUUUGAUGAGCAGGGCAAUUCUUACUCGAUCGUGGAAGACCUUGUUUUCGGGCCCAUGCAACAGCCGAUUCUUUCGAAGUGGGCAAGCUGCAGAAAUCAUAUUAAAGUUAAUUAUUAAAUACCCUUUCAAAUUAAAAAAAAGACCAAAUUAAACUUUAUACCACUCAUUAUGGAUUAUGCACUACACACAGAAUAGAACACACUUAUUUAACAGAACACAGAAACACGAGGCUAUGAAGGUUCCGUUUGAUGAUACAAAUGAAUAACUAAAUAACAAAUCCAACCUGAAAGAAAUGAAGAUUUGAAUACAGGUGCGAUGGAACAGUCAUCCGUGCAAACCAAUCAGAGGAUGGGUAUCUUUUAAAUUAUUGAAUUCCUAAACUUUUAACUUACAUUUUCGGACUUUUCAGGUCAAAAACUGUAAGAUUUGAUAAGUUUUAACAACAACAACAAUAUCGGUCCCUGAGACAAAGUUCAGCACAUUCAAUAAUGCCUCCCUUCUCUAAAUUAAAAUAAUAUUCAUCAUUUAAAACUACUUAUUUGUUACUUCUCACUUUUUUACUUGCAUAGAAAAUACAGAAAAAUCUCUUACAAAUUUGGCAAAUAAAAUUGCGUAUGCUUCAAAGUUCAACAAUUACAAUGUGUCUGUACUAUAUACAUAACAUUAUCUUACUUUCUAAAUCAUAGUUAUAUGUUUAUGUAUUAUUGUUCAGUUAAGUAUAAUUUAUACAUUAUAAUUUCAUGCAAUUAUGUACACAAACGCAGUUAUGCGUAAUGAAUUUUUAGCAUAAUAACAAAGUAUCAUUUCGAUACUGUUCACUAUUUGUUAAUAAAUUUUGUUAAACCUUACAA